rnacentral:miRNA from 5 species
AAUCAUACACGGUUGACCUAUU